GGCUGAAUAGCUCAGUGGUAAGAGCAGUCGCCCGGCAAGCUAAAGACUUGGGUUUGAUUCCCGAUUCAGCGA
rnacentral:tRNA from 1 species